AACAGCAACGGAAAAGAGGAAAAUGAAAAAUGGCGCUGGAGAAAUGGUUGCACUUCACAGAAGAAAGACCGAUCCCGAAGGAGACCAGCCCGAAGGAGCCAGUUUGGGGUCUUUUUCAAAACCUCGGUCGUCGUGAUUAUCCCAGGACGGGAAGGUCUACUACUGCGAGAAAUGGAAUUCUUUCGGAGGAUAACAUUUCACUUGAUCAGGGAUCAAAGUCAAUGCGUCUUAUCAAGGCCUGGUCCGCACCGCCUUGGCCACACCUCCCGGGCUCGCCUCUCCUGGUUUCCCGCGCCUCCAUCGCCUGCACCACCUCAGCUUCCAGCUUUCCUUCCAACCGUUGCCCAGUGCGUUUCUGCUGUCCCUUGGGGACCCCAAGUCCGCCAGUUCCUUGACCUUCCCAUGGCCUCCAACCGUACUGACUGUACCACUGUCUCGCUGCUAUUACCCCUUGCCAUCCUGCCUCCUCUUACCAGGCAUGGGCUCUCGGAACGCCCUGGCCCUUCUCUUUCUUUCUCUGCGGACUUGCCUGGCCAAACCCCGUGCUGGUCCAGUCCAGCUCUCAGCCAUUCUGCCCCGUCAGAGGUGCAGAAGGAGGCGGGGAAAGCGCGCGCCCUUGGGAGCUGGCUUCUCUCUGUACCCGCGAGUACCUACAUGGGCCCAGCCCCCACCUCACACACACACAGCAUCUUCCUCCUCCGUUCAUUCGCUCUGUCCCCUCCCUGGGAGACUGCACACCCCUUCCUUCCCCUCCUCCACCCCUCAG